GACGUAGGGCGCGAGCGUUGUCCGGAUUUAUUGGGCGUAAAGCGCACGUAGGCGGAUCUUUAAGUCAGAGGUGAAAUCCCAAGGCUCAACCUUGGAACUGCCUUUGAUACUGGGGAUCUUGAGUCCGGGAGAGGUGAGUGGAACUGCGAGUGUAGAGGUGAAAUUCGUAGAUAUUCGCAAGAACACCAGUGGCGAAGGCGGCUCACUGGCCCGGUACUGACGCUGAGGUGCGAAAGCGUGGGGAGCAAACAGGG
rnacentral:rRNA from 1 species